AUGAUUUAUUAUUGUUGCACUGUUUGCAGCUUUUAUAACUACACAUUUUAGAUGAUGUUGGAGUAAACUAUUGUUUCCUGCAUACAGGCCCGCACAUCACUACAGUUAAUUGCAACAAAGAUUGCCAAAGAAUUGUCAAAGAAUUGUCUUUGAGGACUCUUCAGCAGAAGGACAGCUCCUCAGCCCUUUCAGUGAUGUGGAGAAGCUGAGCCAUCACCACCGAGGUCUUCCACAGUGUAAUCCUAUGGUUCUAAGUAAAGAGCAUGAUCAUCUGAGUGACCUGAUGAAGCUUGUGUUUGAUAAGGUGUUCCUGGACCCACCAGACUCUCCUCACAGUAUGAGAAACCAUCAGAAGAGGAAGUUAUUUCUGGGCAGGUGUCAUGCUUCAGUAAAGCAAAGACCUAAAGACAACACAGUGUCCACAGCCAGCAGCAUCAGGAAAGUCUCAGUAUCCACAGAAAGACGCGUCAGGAUGACCACUGGGACCUUAGAGUGCCAUUACCAGCUGAGCUGAACUUCAGCAUACAAGAAACCCUUUACCUCAGUGGAUGACAUGUUCUGGGCAGUUUACAUACAAGUUAUGGCUAUGCUAGUUUGUGCAUUAUAUACAGUAUACCCAAUUUACAGUAUAUUUACAUUGCAUUGGCUAUAAAUAAAGUGCUUUAUUUUUAAGGAGGAUUUUGGUCAUUUUUCAUAGUAGUAAGGGUCCUGAGGUAUCAUGUUGUUUCACAAAGGUUUUAUGUAAUUACACUGUUUUAACGGGUGAUAUGAUUUUGUGCAUUUAGAAUUGUGGAAAAACUGGUCCAUUUAACAUCCUGACAAUGAAAACCAAAAAGAGUUUUAGUAGUAAUCCUUUACUACAGGUAAGGGUGCGUCUACUCAAUACUGAGCAAAGGGUCUGAAUACUUAUGACCAUUUAUAUAUUAGUUUUUCUUUUUUAAUAAAUUUGCAAAAAUUUCUACAUUUCAGUUUUUUCUGUCAAGAUGAGUUCCCCAAUUUUUUGGAAGUGCAACAAAAAAUUGCUGGAGUACCGCUUUAAAAUUACCAGCAUGCAGACUAAAAUCACUGUAUUUUUGAGUGUGGUACUGAUGGACAUGCGUUCUCCCACCAUGUACCACACAGCAUAAAUGGAGUAGCUACUUACAGUUAGAAAAUGUGCAAUAAUUUCAUAGGGAUACAGCUAGGGGAAUGAAAAAAAGAAAGAAGAAAUCAUUUCUGUUUAGUUUUCAAAAUGGCAAUAAAAAUCCAAUGUGGUUAGUUCAAAAUG